CGGCCUCCGCUCGUCAUCCCAUUCUCUGCUUUCCCCGGCACGUCAUUGGCUGCGGCUCCGCAGAAAAGUCCGCGGAGCCCCGCCCACAAUGACAGUACCAGCGGAUAGCGGGAGGCAGCCUUGGCACCGACUGGCUGCUGGCACCCUGGCGGAGGGCCGCUCGCGGCCGCCUGGGCUCCCCGACGAGCCCCCACUCUGGCGGAAGAAUACCGGGGGGCGGCGCGGGGGGGCAGGCUGAUGGGGGUCUGCGCUGUGCUGGAUGCCGGGGAGGAACCAUGUCGCAGCUGGGAGGGACCCCAGAAAAGGCAAUGUCAGAGGAUCUUCAAAUCUCAGACUGAGAGGGUUCUUCAGAGGCCAUCUAAUCUGACCCCUCCCUAAAGUAUAGAUAUUCUUUACAACGUUCCCAACAAACAGGCAACUAAUGUCAGUUUAAAGAUUUUCAGUGCAGGAGAGCUCACUUACCUUACAAAGUACACUUCCCAUGCUGUUUUGGACAGCUCUAGCCUAAGCUGAUUCUUGUUUUCACUCAGCUAAAACUGCCUCCCAACCUUAAGUUUGAACUUGUGAAGUUCAAAUGAUGAUGUCACCCACUCAAUAAAUAAUAUUUGAAGAAUAAUUUGC
rnacentral:lncRNA from 1 species